GAUGAACGCUGGCGGCGUGCCUAAUACAUGCAAGUAGAACGCUGAAGGAGGAGCUUGCUCUUCUGGGUGAGUUGCGAACGGGUGAGUAACGCGUAGGUAACCUGCCUGGUAGCGGGGGAUAACUAUUGGAAACGAUAGCUAAUACCGCAUGACAACAGUUAUUGCAUGAUAACUGUUUAAAAGGGGCAACUGCUCCACUACCAGAUGGACCUGCGUUGUAUUAGCUAGUUGGUGAGGUAACGGCUCACCAAGGCGACGAUACAUAGCCGACCUGAGAGGGUGAUCGGCCACACUGGGACUGAGACACGGCCCAGACUCCUACGGGAGGCAGCAGUAGGGAAUCUUCGGCAAUGGACGGAAGUCUGACCGAGCAACGCCGCGUGAGUGAAGAAGGUUUUCGGAUCGUAAAGCUCUGUUGUAAGAGAAGAACGAGUGUGAGAGUGGAAAGUUCACACUGUGACGGUAUCUUACCAGAAAGGGACGGCUAACUACGUG
rnacentral:rRNA from 1 species